GGUAUAGAACAUAAGUAGUAAACUCAUUAAUAUCAUUAUUGAUUUUACAACUUUCUCCAGUUUGAGUGCUUGUAGAUGACACAACAUUAUAAGAGAAGAAUGAACGUCACUUUCUUUUCCCACAUUUUUCAAGACCGCAUAUUUCAAGCAUUCUUGCUUUAAUCCCUCUAAAAGUGCUUGAUGCUAAUCUGUUUUUUUACAUUUUGGGACCUCCUAAAAAUAAUAGAGGGUUCCUGAGGGAUAUGGGAACAAAGGAACUCAUCCUCUAAUAAGAGAGGCCAAUUUUAAUUUUUUCAAGUCUUUUUUAAUGUCAAGGGCUGCUGAAUUAUAUUGGGU